rnacentral:rRNA from 1 species
AGCUAAUAGAUACCCCGGUAGUCCACGCCCUAAACGAUGUCUACUAGUUGUUGGUGGAGUAAAAUCCAUGAGUAAACGCAGCUAAACGCGUGAAGUAGACCGCCUGGGGAGUACGGUCGCAAGAUUAAAACUCAAAGGAAUUGACGGGGGCCCGCACAAGCGGUGGAUUAUGUGGAUUAAAUUCGAUGCAACGCGAAAAACCUUACCUGGCCUUGACAUGCCACUAACGAAGCAGAGAUGCAUUAGGUGCCCGUAAGGGAAAGUGGACACAGGUGCUGCAUGGCUGUCGUCAGCUCGUGUCGUGUGAUGUUGGGUUAAGUCCCGCAACGAGCGCAACCCUUGCCAUUAAUUGCCAUCAUUUAGUUGGGCACUUUAAUGGGACUGCCGGUGACAAACCGGAGGAAGGUGGGGAUGACGUCAAGUCCUCAUGGCCCUUAUGGCCAGGGCUUCACACGUAAUACAAUGGUCGGUACAGAGAGUUGCCAACCCGCGAGGGGAGCUAAUCUCAGAAAGCCGAUCGUAGUCCGGAUUGUUCUCUGC